AGUGAACGCUGGCGGUAGGCCUAACACAUGCAAGUCGAACGGCAGCACAGUAAGAGCUUGCUCUUACGGGUGGCGAGUGGCGGACGGGUGAGGAAUACAUCGGAAUCUACUUUUUCGUGGGGGAUAACGUAGGGAAACUUACGCUAAUACAGCAUACGACCUACGGGUGAAAGCAGGGGAUCUUCGGACCUUGCGCGAUUGAAUGAGCCGAUGUCGGAUUAGCUAGUUGGCGGGGUAAAGGCCCACCAAGGCGACGAUCCGUAGCUGGUCUGAGAGGAUGAUCAGCCACACUGGAACUGAGACACGGUCCAGACUCCUACGGGAGGCAGCAGUGGGGAAUAUUGGACAAUGGGCGCAAGCCUGAUCCAGCCAUACCGCGUGGGUGAAGAAGGCCUUCGGGUUGUAAAGCCCUUUUGUUGGGAAAGAAAAGCAGCAGGUUAAUACCCCGCUGUUCUGACGGUACCCAAAGAAUAAGCACCGGCUAACUUCGUG
rnacentral:rRNA from 1 species